rnacentral:rRNA from 1 species
GUGGGGAAUAUUGGACAAUGGGGGGAACCCUGAUCCAGCCAUGCCGCGUGUGUGAAGAAGGCCUUUUGGUUGUAAAGCACUUUAAGCGAGGAGGAGGCUACCGAGAUUAAUACUCUUGGAUAGUGGACGUUACUCGCAGAAUAAGCACCGGCUAACUCUGUGCCAGCAGCCGCGGUAAUACAGAGGGUGCAAGCGUUAAUCGGAUUUACUGGGCGUAAAGCGCGCGUAGGUGGCCAAUUAAGUCAAAUGUGAAAUCCCCGAGCUUAACUUGGGAAUUGCAUGCGAUACUGGUUGGCUAGAGUAUGGGAGAGGAUGGUAGAAUUCCAGGUGUAGCGGUGAAAUGCGUAGAGAUCUGGAGGAAUACCGAUGGCGAAGGCAGCCAUCUGGCCUAAUACUGACACUGAGGUGCGAAAGCAUGGGGAGCAAACAGGAUUAGAUACCCCUGUAGUCC